UCAGGUAGGAUAAGAGUUCCUGCACACGCCCGUCGUCUUCUAAAGCUGCUCUGCUCGUGCCUCAGUGAGCUAGCUUUCAGUUCAGUUAGCAGCUACAGGCUUAAAACAACCGUCCAUCAGUCUGCAACAAGCAGCACACUCCUCAUUUCAGUUUCAAGACCAAAGCAGAGAAAUGGAUGUUCAGUCUCAAUGAUUGUUACAAAACAGGGUGUAAGGUGCUGUAGAAGUCCACUUUGUUCCCGUCCUGCUGAUCGUCUGUGAAGACAAAAGGAAGGAGGACUAGAGCUUCAGUGAAGUUAUAUGAAAGCAGACCGGGUCUGAAGUGUGAGCUGUGUGACGUCUGAUAAAAAUCCUCUGUCACUUGUGUCAGGGUCGACAUGACAGCAAGUUUGUAAAUCUGCAGGCUGCGUAAGCUGCUACAAACAUGACUCACAUACUUUUGUGAAUGUAGAAACAAGGUUUGGAAAAAGAAGAAGAAACUGUGGAAUACGUAAGAUGUUUUCUGGUUGUGCAGCGUGUCCAGACUUUUUGGACUGGGGGGGGGGGGGCUACGCCCUCCCUGGCCAUCCUCUCUGGACACGUUCAUGGCUGCACAAAUAAGAUUUCUUGUUUAACUAACUGCUACUGACAAUCGUUGCAUAAUAGAAAAUGAAUGAAAAGACUCCUUAAUUUAAACAACAUGAGUUUGUUCGGGUGAACUUCAAAGAGAUAAACCUUUAAAAUAUC